rnacentral:rRNA from 1 species
UACGAAGGGGGCUAGCGUUGCUCGGAAUGACUGGGCGUAAAGGGCGCGUAGGCGGAUGGCACAGUCAGAUGUGAAAUUCCUGGGCUUAACCUGGGGGGCUGCAUUUGAUACGUGUUGUCUUGAGUGAGGAAGAGGGUCGUGGAAUUCCCAGUGUAGAGGUGAAAAUUCGUAGAUAUUGGGAAGAACACCGGUGGCGAAGGCGGCGACCUGGUCCUUAACUGACGCUGAGGCGCGAAAGCGUGGGGAGCAAACAGG